AAAAUCCUCCGUUAUGGCGGUAUUUUUGCACCAGUUUCAAUAUGGAGACGGCGCAGAAAGAUCAUGAUUCCAGCAUUUAGUCCAAAAAUAAUACAAAACUUCUUUGAAGUAUUUUCAGAACAUAUCGUAAAUUUACUAGAAAAAUUAGAAUCUGGUACAGGAUAUUUUAGUAUUUACCCAUAUUUGACUGCCUAUAUUUUGGACUCAAUUUGUGAAACAGCGAUGGGUGUUAAAGUUAAUGCUCAGAAUUAUUCGAAUUCACCAUUUGUGA